GUGGAUCUAGCCCAACUGGUAGAGGCACAUGGUUGAGGGCCAUGACAGUCGGGGUUCGACUCCCCGGAUCCGCAC
rnacentral:tRNA from 1 species